GUGGGGAAUCUUGCGCAAUGGGCGAAAGCCUGACGCAGCCAUGCCGCGUGAAUGAUGAAGGUCUUAGGAUUGUAAAAUUCUUUCACCGGGGACGAUAAUGACGGUACCCGGAGAAGAAGCUCCGGCUAACUUCGUGCCAGCAGCCGCGGUAAUACGAAGGGGGCUAGAGUUGCUCGGAAUUACUGGGCGUAAAGGGCGCGUAGGCGGACAGCUUAGUCAGAGGUGAAAGCCCAGGGCUCAACCUUGGAAUUGCCUUUGAUACUGGCUGUCUUGAGUUUGGGAGAGGUGAGUGGAACUCCGAGUGUAGAGGUGAAAUUCGUAGAUAUUCGGAAGAACACCAGUGGCGAAGGCGACUCACUGGCCCAAUACUGACGCUGAGGCGCGAAAGCGUGGGGAGCAAACAGGAUUAGAUACCCGAGUAGUCC
rnacentral:rRNA from 1 species